GUGAUUUUUAUAUAUCUUGAGAAAUCUUAUUUUUGUGCUUCUUAGCUAUGUUUCUUGGACUCUCCAAAAAUUUUAAGGCACCCAUGUUACUCUCCAAAAUGCUACUUUUGGAGUAUCUGACACACCCAUUGACAUUUUUUAAGAGUCAAAGCUACAUAACUUCUUAGUAGCUUUUCUAUUUUUGAAUCCAAUGAUAUUUGCCCUUUCCCAAGAAUCUGUUCAAGUGCUGCUCUGAUGAAAUGGAUGAGUAAGCUCUUCCACCUGUAUCUCCAAAGAAAUAAUUUGGUCUUGUAAGAAAAUUGGUUUGAAUUUGAUACCUUGUGAGUCUAUUUAUGUAUGCAUAUACAUACACAAGAUUUUUGGCUCUUUCUGCAAUCUUGUGUAUUUUGGCCAAAAGUAGUUGUUGCUAUGUUGUUUACCAUAUGACUGAACAAUUUGGUGUGCAAUUUUCAUGUUACCGCGCUACCAUGGAUUGUGUAGGAUGUGAGAAAUGUCGACUAUGGGCAAAGCUGGUUCUUGGCCUUGGAACUGCUCUAAAGAUUCCUUUCUAAGUUGAUGGUGAAUCUCGGCAUGAUCAACAUGUGCAGGUGCAAAGAAAUGAAGUGCUUGCUCUAGUAAACCUCCUUAACCGGCUAUCAAAAUCAAACUCGUACAGGAAAUGAGCCCGACAUUUGAGAAGACAACAAAAGGAAAAAGUUUACAACCAGGUGGAGAAGACUAUGGGAAACAGUAGUAAGGGAUAGGAAUAAUAUGGGUGAUCAAAUUUGAAUGGUGGCUGCUACAAGUCAACUCGACCUAGAUUGAAGUAAAUGAUGAAGAAAUUUUGAACAUUUCUGAUAUAUGUUUAAAUUCAUUUGGUUUUGUGUGGAACUUAGUACAACUCUUUAAAAUGUUAUUUUUUAAUUAGUAUGUGUAGUAAAGGGUAUAUUUUUUUUAAGUUCAUAACAAAUCUAUGCAUUUGAUUAUUUCUUAGCUAAUUCGCGCGUGAGAUUAUAUAUAUGUAAUGUGAUUAGUGGUGUAUACAUUUGGA